rnacentral:rRNA from 1 species
GACGAACGCUGGCGGCGUGCCUAAUACAUGCAAGUCGAACGAGAGCGACCGGUGCUUGCACUGGUCAAUCUAGUGGCGAACGGGUGAGUAACACGUGGGUAACCUGCCCAUCAGAGGGGGAUAACAUCCGGAAACGGAUGCUAAAACCGCAUAGGUCUUCGAACCGCAUGGUUUGAAGAGGAAAAGAGGCGCAAGCUUCUGCUGAUGGAUGGACCCGCGGUGCAUUAGCUAGUUGGUGAGGUAACGGCUCACCAAGGCCGUGAUGCAUAGCCGACCUGAGAGGGUGAUCGGCCACAUUGGGACUGAGACACGGCCCAAACUCCUACGGGAGGCAGCAGUAGGGAAUCUUCCGCAAUGGACGCAAGACUGACGGAGCAACGCCGCGUGAGUGAAGAAGGUUUUCGGAUCGUAAAACUCUGUUGUUAGAGAAGAACAAGUGCUAGAGUAACUGUUAGCGCCUUGACGGUAUCUAACCAGAAAGCCACGGCUAACUACGUG